rnacentral:rRNA from 1 species
AUGCGUCGCGAUAGAAAGCUCCGGCGCCUAAGGAUGGGUCUGCGGCCUAUCAGGGUAGUAGUGGGUGUAACGUACCUACUAGCCUACGACGGGUACGGGUUGUGAGAGCAAGAGCCCGGAGAUGGAUUCUGAGACACGAAUCCAGGCCCUACGGGGUGCAGCAGGCGCGAAAACUUUACAAUGCUGGAAACAGCGAUAAGGGGACCUCGAGUGCCAGGAUACAAUCCUGGCUGUCGUAAUGCCUAAAAAGCAUUGCAUAGCAAGGGCCGGGCAAGACCGGUGCCAGCCGCCGCGGUAACACCGGCGGCUCGAGUGGUAACCGCUAUUAUUGGGUCUAAAGGGUCUGUAGCCGGCUGACUAAGUCUCUUGGGAAAUCUGACAGCUUAACUGUCAGGCUUUCAGGUGAUACUGAUCGGCUCGAGACCGGGAGAGGUGAGAGGUACCUCAGGGGUAGGGGUGAAAUCUUGUAAUCCUUGAGGGACCACCAGUGGCGAAGGCGUCUCACCAGAACGGAUCUGACGGCAAGGGACGAAAGCUAGGGGCACGAACCGGAUUAGAUACCCGGGUAGUCCUAGCCGUAAACGAUACUCGCUAGGUGUCGGCCACGGUGCGACCGUGGUCGGUGCCGUAGGGAAGCCGUG